rnacentral:misc_RNA from 1 species
GAAACCCGUGCCUGAUGAUGGUGCACACGCCGCAACCUGGGAUCGAGCCGCACAAGUUCGACGAGCCGCGAGCGCCCAACGAGCACGUUAGACUCGUACAGUAGAAUCGCAGCAGCUCGUUACCAUCAGCUGCACACCUGGGGUUUUUUUUAGUGCUAUUGAGAGCACGAGUCUUGACAACAUCUCUGGAGUCCUCGAACCGUUGAAUGGUGCGUUGUGUGUUGUGAACUUUUAAUAUCCGUUCGAUCUUACAGAUGGAGUUAUCUUUCUUGAGCCAGCUUGAUUUGAAGAUGAUCUCCACAAUGUUUCUACUGGAAUCCUCUGGGCCCAGCUCUGAUACGGCAUGGCGAACUUUUUGAUGAAGCUCUAAGCUUUCAGACUUGGGGAAGAUCUCUCCACACUGGGAGCAUGCGCAUAUUGUAGUCCUUGGAGAUGGGUACCUGCUAGGGUCAACGAUCAUGUGACAUUCAUAACAACCAGAAAGCUUCCUGAAUUGUAUGCCUCUUGAAGAUGAAGUGUAGGUUGCGCCACCGCUGGAUCUCCCUGAACUCCCCAACGACCUAGUUGAUGACCCAUUAGCUGCUUUUCGACUCAGCAGUCCAGUUUCUUGACCUACUGUGCUACUUUCGGGUGAGUUAUCAGCUCUGUGAACAACCCUUGUGUUGCCAUGAACAACGUCUCUGAAACUGCAUAUAGAGCUGCAGGAAGAACCCAGCUUUGAGUAUCCGUUAGGGUUCUUCGAUGGGUCAUGUAC